UUAGAUGAGAUGCCAAGUGAAGAAACAACUUCCAGCAUAUGGAAUAUUCCUAUUUUUUGCUUCUUUUAAGAAUGAUCUUCUCUAAGAGCCUCUGGUUCAUGUUAAUUCCAUCGACAAAGUGUAGCUCUGUCUCCCAGCUUUUUUCGCAAGGGUAUUUCCCACAUGCAUGUUCCUUUUUCCUCCUUCCACUACCCUCCACUCAGAAGGUUUUCCCAAGCAACCUUUUUUCCCCAGUGAUCCUCCAUGGGCCAAGCCUUCACAAUGAACUGAAAAGCCACAGAGACCAGCUUCUCCACGCAGACAAACCAUUUCUCCAAAAUGAGGCCAGCCAUCCUGUGCAUGACUUUGGACAGUCUCCAGGCAGGGACACAAUCACCAUAACCUACUGAGACCGCUGGAUGUUUAUAGAGAUUACUGAGUUGAUACCUUUUUAUUUGCCUCCCUAAAAUAUUAAAGUUGCAAGCCUCAGCUGAGCAAGACAAAGUUGAAAGGCUGUGGAACUAUGUAACAACAUCCCCUGCAGUACAAGCAGCAAGUGGAAAGUGGAGAUAAAUAAAUUAGCCCAACACUGGACACAGGUCAGACUCAAGGUGCUUGUUGGCUUGUGGAUCCAACUGGAAAGAGAGCACGAGCCAGAUUUGAUUUUUUACACUUCGCCAAACUUUCUUUGUCAUCCCUGACUGCUGUACCUCCGAACCUGUGUGCUG